rnacentral:tRNA from 1 species
CCUGCAGAUUUGGCCGAGUGGUUUAAGGCGGUAGGCAAGUAAUGCCAACUCUCACACACCGACUUUCCACUAACCUUUCCCCCAGACUUAAGUUCUACUCACGAAAGUGGCGUGGGUUCGAACCCCACAGUCUGCAUA